ACGUAGGCAGCGAGCGUUGUUCGGAGUUCCUGGGCGUAAAGGGUGUGUAGGCGGUUGUUUAAGUUUGGUGUGAAAACUCUGGGCUCAACCCAGAGCCUGCAUCCAAAACUGGCGGGCUAGAGUUCUGGAGGGGGUAGCGGAAUUCCUGGUGUAGCGGUGAAAUGCGUAGAUAUCAGGAGGAACACCGGUGGCGAAGGCGGCUACCUGGACAGAAACUGACGCUGAGGCGCGAAAGCUAGGGUAGCAAACGGGA
rnacentral:rRNA from 1 species